AGGUAAACCUAACUCUCCCUUUAUCCUCUCGAGCUCUACACUCCAAAUGAGAGCUUCAGAGUCAUCUUCCUCUCCAUUCACGCUCCAAACCUUUCUCCUCAGCGCCUUUAUCCACCGCAUUCUUCCAUCAUCAACACCUUUGGGACUUUCAUCACUCUCGUCGUCGUCAAUCAUCGCUGUUCCCAUCCUGUCCCUUCUCUUCCCCUCUUUUACGAGGACAAACCCUAAUCCUCCUUCAACGAAUUUUUCUUCUCUUCAAACCUAACACCGAUGAGACUGGCAGUGAGGAUGAUGGCCUUUUGGAUCUGAGUGAAGAUGAUUUUUUUUUUCGUUGGGAGUUCUAGUGAUGAAGCAAAUACAAAUGAUGAAUGGACAGACAAAAGUACGAGGUGGGUAGAGAUGUUUUACAACUUAAGCAGUUAUUAUAUUAUGAAAAUUCAUAUACUCGCAGCAAGGUAAACGAUGUUAAGAAGAGCAACUGGAGUAUACCUGUUUGUGAUGCUAGUAUGGUCAAAUUGAAGCCAGUAAAUGGGUGUCAAUGAGUGGUCAAAUUGUUGAUGCUAGUAUGGUCAAAUUGAAGCAAUAUAAACGAUGUUAAGAAGAGCAACUUAGUUACAAGAGUUUAUUAGUAGUGGGUGUUAGCUGUUAGUACUGAUGCUUUUCUAUAAAUAUAUAUAGUGCUAGCCCCCUGUUUCAAUAUACAUAUUACUCCAUCUGUUUCUGCUCUUUCACUUAUUAUUCUCUCCAUUCUUUUUCUUCUUGUGAGAUUCACUAAUUAACAAACAAGAACAUGAAGUGGUGGGUGUCAAUGCCAAAGGUGGAGUUGCAUGCUCAUCUCAAUGGAUCCAUUAGAGACUCCACACUGCUAUUUGCCAAGUCUUGAUUGCAAUGCGGAGGGGUGAUAACUUAAGGGCUGAGGAUUAUAUGCUUUUUGACCCUUUCAUAUAUCAUGGGAUGGCUGAACUGCAUGACAAGCACAGAGAAAUGCGCCUUGGUGUUGAUAACACGUCUUAUGAGGAAUUGUUGGCAUUGGAGGAGCGAAUUGGAGAUGUCAGCACUGGAUUGAGCGAGGAUGUCAUUAUGAAGUCGAUGAAACAGCAAAUAUACAUGUCUGUUAUGGCGGAGUCUUCUACAGAUCUUGAACCUUGUUGUAUCUGUCAGGUAAAAGUUAUGGUCUCAGCUAAUUAAGGUGCAAUUACAAGUUGGGAAGGAAACAACUCAAUGAGUAAAAGGGAGUCUGUCUUACUCUUGAAGCCCUUUUCUUAUUCUAUCUUUUCCUCCCAAGACCCAAAUUCCCCAACACACCCUUAAAGUAAAGAGGGGAUUCUCUCCCAAUUGACAGCAUCAUUGCUCCAUUUGAAGUUGAGACAGAUUGAGAUUUUUCAGGAGGAAAAUAAAAUCCUAGAGAAAACACACCGCCAAAAGAUUUUGGAAGUUGAAAAGCUUAGCCCAACUAUUUAAGAACUCGAGGAAACCAUCUUAGCAAGCGGAGCCACUACUAAUGCCAUUCGUGAUUACCAACGGCGGAUUUUUGAGCUGCUAGUAGGCAUAUCUUGAACUCAUUUUCUCAUAUAAUAUCUGACUGGUUAGUAUGUGUGGUAACUUGGAGUUGCACCAUCAUGCUGGAGGAGAAGAAAACAUUGGAGAGGGAACUAGCAAGGGCAAAAAUGGACUUGGUAUAGUUUUAGUAUGGUUCAGAUGAGGACUAUGAUGAUGAGGAUGAAGAUGACACUGAAGAUUAUAGCUGAUAGUUUUAGUUUGGUCGAACAAUAUACUGGAAAUUAUAGUUGAUGAUUAAUACAUUUUGUUUAUAUUUUGAAUUACAUUGACUUGCUUGUUUA